GACGAACGCUGGCGGCGUGCCUAAUACAUGCAAGUAGGACGAGUUGCGAACGGGUGAGUAACGAGUGGUAACCUACCUAUUAAAGGGGGGUAACUAAUGGAAACGGUAGCUAAUACCGCAUACCAUCGGAUGUGCACAGAUGGGAUUAGCUAGUAGGUGGGGUAACGGCUAACCUAGGCGACGAUCCCUAGGUGAUCUGAGAGAAUUACCAGCCACACUGGAACUGAGACACGGUCCAGACUCCUACGGGAGGCAGCAGUGGGGAAUAUUGCGCAAUGGGCGCAAGCCUGAUCGAGCCAUGCCGCGUGUAUGAAGAAGGCCUUCGGGUUGUAAAGUACUUUCGGCGGGGAGGCGUUACUCGAAGAAGAAGCACCGGCUAACUCCGUGCCAGCAGCCGCGGUAAUAC
rnacentral:rRNA from 1 species